rnacentral:rRNA from 1 species
ACCAUUUCCAAACAAGUAGUAACUCAAAUUGUGUCAAAUCCUCCAUUACAUCACCUUGAUUGGCAGGCCCUUGAAUCCUGCCCCUUCUUUAACCCCAUAAAAACAUUUCCAAACAUUUGGGGUCAACACAGGAUGGUGUGGUCAAUAUCAAAUCCAACCCAUGUCAUGCCCACACAUAUAAAUAGUCCACAUCCUACCACAAACCUCUGAGCCAAUAGAUUAGUAGACAAAAGAAAAAGAAAAAACCAAACCCACCCGUGCGCGCUCGGAGGCCGCGCCGCACCCGCACCGGAGCGUCGGUCCGUCGAACACCUAGCAGGCAGCCAUGGCCCUCCACCUCCUCACUCCCACCCACCUCCACCACCCCUCCUCCCCCCUCCCGCGCCGCCGCGCCGCCGCCUCGGCCACAGCCACGCUCGCGCACCCACUCCGCGCCCACCCCCGCCUCCGCCUCCGCCUCGCCACCGCCGCGUCCUCCCCGCGCACCGGGCCACGCCGCGCCGGCAUGUCGGCCAUCCGCAGCUCGCUCAUCGACCCGGACGGCGGCGCGCUCGUCGACCUCGUGGCGCCGCCGGGGAGCCGCGCGGCGCUGCGGGCCGAGGCGGAGGCGCUCCCGCGGGUGCGGCUCGCGGCCGUGGACGUGGAGUGGGCGCACGUGCUCGCCGAGGGCUGGGCGUCCCCGCUGCGCGGCUUCAUGCGGGAGCACGAGUACCUCCAGUGCCUCCACUUCAACUCCCUCCGCCUCCCCUCCGGCGGCCUCGCCAACAUGUCGCUCCCCAUCGUGCUCGCCGUCGACGACGCCGCCAAGGACCGCGUCGGGGCCGCCCCCGACGUCGCGCUCGCCGGGCCCGACGGCGAGCUCCUCGCCGUCCUCCGCAGUGUUGAAAUAUACCCUCACAAUAAAGAAGAAAGGAUUGCAAGAACAUGGGGGACAACUGCGCCUGGCUUACCUUAUGUCGAUGAGGCGAUAACACCAGCUGGGAACUGGCUGAUUGGUGGUGAUCUGGAGGUGUUGCAACCCAUUAAGUAUAACGAUGGCCUCGACCAUUACAGGCUUUCACCCCAGCAACUUAGGGACGAAUUUGACAAGCGUGGGGCUGAUGCUGUAUUUGCGUUCCAGUUGAGAAAUCCAGUCCACAAUGGGCAUGCACUGUUGAUGAAUGACACUAGAAGGCGUCUCUUGGAAAUGGGUUUCAAGAACCCCAUUCUACUGCUACACCCCUUGGGUGGUUUUACAAAAGCUGACGAUGUCCCACUGCCUGUUCGAAUGGAACAACACAGCAAGGUCUUAGAAGAUGGAGUCCUUGACCCUGAGACCACUAUCGUGUCUAUAUUUCCCUCUCCAAUGCAUUAUGCUGGUCCAACAGAGGUGCAGUGGCAUGCGAAGGCAAGAAUUAAUGCCGGUGCUAAUUUCUACAUAGUGGGUCGUGAUCCAGCUGGCAUGGGCCAUCCAACAGAGAAGAGAGAUCUGUACAACCCAGACCAUGGGAAGAAAGUCCUAAGCAUGGCCCCCGGUUUGGAGAAACUCAACAUAUUGCCCUUCAAGGUAGCAGCAUACGAUACGGUAGCGAAGAAGAUGGCUUUCUUUGAACCUUCACGCAGUCAAGAUUUUCUGUUCAUCUCAGGAACCAAGAUGCGCACUUUCGCCAAAACCGGAGAGAACCCUCCUGAUGGUUUCAUGUGCCCUGGUGGGUGGAAGGUUCUUGUUGACUACUACAAUAGCUUGCAAACGGAAGGAGCUACCACCCCCGCCACCGCUACUGUAUGAGACAAGCUGCUGCAUGGCUUUGAGAUCAUUUGUUCGCCGGCCAGAAAUGGUGAACGCAGGGGAUUUCAAACCGUACCUUCUUUUUUCCGCCCUUUCUUUUAAGUUUUUUUGUAGGUCGCUAGUUUAUUGAUGCCAUCAGAUCCUCCAAUUGUUCAAAUUUUUUCUUUCAAAAUAGAAAGAAAGAUUUUGAAGCUUGGCACUGAAACUCAAAACUGUUGACAGAUCGAGCUGUAACCGCACCGCAGAUUCUGUUAUUAUCCUGUGAUGACUCUGACAGUCCAACUAGCCAAUAAAGAAGUUCAUUGCAAUUGUGGGAGCUCAUCCAAGAUCUGCGAACAAGUUGAGUCUUCGGUAAGUGAUGGCAUCAGGCCAUUACCGGAAAGUUUGUUGGAGUGUAACCAAGGACAUGUUUGGUCGGCAUCCACGCCUUGUCACACUUUUUUCUACCAAAGCGCGGAAAAGUGUUUGGUUGUAUCCACGGUCAUAGCAUGCCACACUUUCUUAGCCACAUACGCCGCUUGUUAUAGACUCCGUUGCUAACCAACUUAGGCCACAAGCAAUUCGGCCACCAAGAAAUUUGUGGCAUAAAAAGUGUGGCAAAAUGCGUAGGGGCAACCAAACAUGCCUGACGGUGACGCUUGUUCAAUUGUCGGACAUGUUGGGUUGUGCCGGCAAAAAAAAAAGUCGGCGAAAAAUAUUAUCUUGCGAUUUACCCCCUCAGUAAAUUAGUAUACGACGUUCUAGAGACUUGAAGUUUACAAAGGGAGCACUUUUGAAGCUUCUACACAAGAAAAGGGAGGGAAUGGAUUGCCAACCCAAUAGCCGGUCCCGGGGACAAAAUAAUGUGAAAUUACGGAAAAGAUAAGAGAUCUAAAUUUGAGACCUAGACCCGAGCAAUCUGCGCAAAAUCCAGCUCUCUAAACUAAAAUAGCGAUCUAAACGCUCUUAUAUUAGUUUACAGAGGGAGUAGUACACAAGAUUUUAGGGUAAUUUUUUUUUUUUUUUACAAAUUUGACUGAAGGAGAAGGGGGAUUCUGAACCUGACGGUAGACACUUGCGAGGCCGGAGAGGGGCGGCGAGAAAAAGAGCAGGGAGAAAGAAUAUACCUUUCCCGUCUCCCCGGAUCCCUUCCGUGCUGCCCCCAAAUCUCCUCUCCUCUCCUCUCCGCUCCCAAAUCAAAUCCCCCAUCACCACCCCCACCUACCCCCACCGCCGGCGCGAGCCGCGAGCGCGAGCGGAGCGAUGGCCGGCGCGGGAUCCUCGUCGGGCGGGUCGGGCGGCGGCGGGGGCCGGGAGGGCGACUGGGACUGCGGCGGCUGCGGCAACCGCAACUACGCCUUCCGCUCCCUGUGCAACCGCUGCAAGCAGCCGCGCCUCCUCGUCGACCCCAACACCCCGCGCGACUCCAAGUGGCUCCCCCGCGCCGGCGACUGGAUCUGCAACGGUACGGCCCCCCGAACCCCACGCCCACGCCUCCCCUCGCCUUCCCCCUCUAGGUAGAGGUAGAAGCACAAUCUUUCCUACCUUGGUCACCGCUCUAAUGAAAUCAAGUGGAGAGGGAAACCGUAGAGCAAGCCUGGAGGUGGCGUAGGCUCGAGAUGUAUUGUAUCAUGGGCUAGGGUGUGAGUGAUAUGAGAUGGGCGCCGAUGCCUCUCGGGGCCCCCUGUUAAUUUAAGCUCGUGAUCUCUCUCGGCGCAUUGCAUCGGAGGUUUAACCGUUCAAGGGUUAUAGCAUUUAUGUUUUAUUUGAUUAUCUUAAUCCUGUUUAGGUGUAUUUGGGCUUGUUAGAGCCUAUGAUCAUAGUAACUGCAGUAUAUGGUUGUGAUAUAAUUCUGAGGUCUGGAGGCUUGGGUAAGGAGUUGGUACUCGAAAGUGAAUACUACACGCUAUUUAAGCGAUUUUUGCUUGUGGCAAAUAACAUGUGUGGGAUGUAGGAUCCGUGCUAGUAAUUUCUUACCUUUUGUUCUGGAAAACUUUAAUUGCUGUUGAUGUUUAUUUUACUCAUUGUAUAUGUACGUAUGCUUGUAGAUGAUAUUAGACAAGUACCAGCAACUUUUCCGAGUAAAUGACUAGUGUGUGUGUGCUUAUUUCUUUUUUGGGUGUUGUGCGGGCUGGCUGGUUGCCUUGGUGUGCGUGUACUUCGGAUGUGCGUUGUCGUGCUGCCUGGUGUGGUGGUGGUCGUGGUGGUGGUGGUGGUUGGUUUAUGCGGCAAAUGGAUGAAUGAAUAGGUUGCAGUAACAAUAAUUAUGCAUCCAGAAAGAACUGCAAGAAGUGCAACCUGCCCAAGGAGGAAGCAGCGAUGCCGCAGUUAUCAAUGGGAGGAAUGAUGCCAGCCUAUGCAGAUUAUAUGGCCAGGGUACAGGAGAUUGCCAAUGCUGGGUAUAAGAUGAACUUUGGCAAUCCAGCUAUGCAGCAGCAGCUACUUGCAAAUGCAAACUGGCCCUAUGGGAUGGCUGGUAGAUAUGGUAUGCAGUCGUCUGCUUGGCCAUUCGCCGGCAACAGCACAAAUCAGUUUCAAGGUGUUCCAAAGGACUGGCGUAGUGGUGACUGGCUCUGCAGCUGUGGAUUCCAUAACUACUCAUCUCGUGCUCAGUGCAAAGAGUGUAAUGCACCUGUCCCAUCAGGCAUGGCCUCUACAACCAUGAAAUCCACAGGAGCAGAUAGUUCUUCAACAUUAGGUAAUAAGCGCUUGGCAUCAGAGGAGCUUGCCAAUGACUGGGAUAAUAAAAGGCUAAAUCCUGGACAUGCUAAUUAUCCACUUUCAGCAGCAGGCUCAGAUAAUUUAUUUAUGGGUCAAGGUGCUGGAAACAAUAAUGGCCAGACAACUUAUUCUGCAUAUGACAAUGGAAACUCAAUGGCAUCUGGACAAAUUCCAGGGAUGUCUGGUGUAGUUGGCAAAGGAGCUAAAUGGCGUGAAGGAGACUGGUUGUGCACCAACUGCAGCAAUCAUAAUUACGCAUCUCGUGCAUUUUGUAACAGAUGCAAAACUGCGAAAGAGUCUUCAGUUCAUCCGGGGGCGCUAUAAUAAUAGCUUUGCUUGUACUUUUGCGACUAAAUUGUUGAAGCAGGCGUGGAGUCUCCUGGUCCUGCUGCGGCUGAUCGGUCGCUGCCACCACCAGGAUUGUUGUUAUGUUUGUGGUUUGGCCUUGCAGUGCUUAUGCUGCUGUUAAGAUUGUUCUAUGUCAGAGUCUAAUAUUGUUUGUGGGAGUUUGCAUUUGUUUAUGCCGAGCACUAGAAUAAAAUGUUUCCUGUAUGUCGAAGUGUACCAUCUGUUUUUUUUUUUGUGUGUGAGUGUGCAACGAUUUGAUUGGUUCUUCAGUACCUCGACAGCUAUGAUGUAAUGUAAUGCUGGAUCUAUUUCAAGCGACAAUGCUGGAUUUUAUUGUUUUAUGAAUCG